CAUGUGCCAUGGAAGUUUAGACUGUGCAGAUACUGGACUGGCCUGCCUGCAGUCCCGACCUGUCCCCAACAGAGAAUGUGUGAAGAAUUGUGAAACAGAAAAU